AGGGUAGAGGCGCAGUCCUUCAGAAGUAACCGGCGCAAGGAUACGGAACCAUAUUCGCCGCGAGAAAGGGAAGGUCUGCCGAAGUUUCAGACCUGUUCCGUAACGGGUUGAAGCUGGUCCAAACGGAUAAUAUCUGUUGGACUGUCACAGGGCAGACAGAUCCUGUGGAGCGCUCUCU
rnacentral:ncRNA from 1 species